rnacentral:rRNA from 1 species
CAAAGAUUAAGCCAUGCAUGUCUAAGUUCAGACCUUCCUUAGUGUGAAACCGCAAACGGCUCAUUAAAUCAGUCAUAAUCUAAUGGAUGACGGACAAGGUUCGGAUAACCGUGGCAAUUCUAGAGCUAAUACGUGCAACAGAGCUCCGACGCCCCCUUGAGCUCGGGAGACAAUCUCGACUUGAGGUGCGGUGGAAGGGCGCAAUUAUUAGGUUCCAUAAACCGAGCAGGCUCACGGGCCUGAAGCCGGUUGUGGUGACUCUGGAUAAAAACGCUUAUCGAUGAGGCCUCCGCGCCGUCGAUACAUCCUUUGAGAGACUGCCUUAUCAGCUUAUCCGUUGGGUAAACGCCCACGAUGGCUGUAACGGGUAACGGGGAAUCUGGGUUCGAUUCCGGAGAGGGAGCCUGAGAAACGGCUACCACAUCUAAGGAAGGCAGCAGGCACGCAAAUUACCCACUCCCGGCACGGGGAGGUAGUGACGAUAAAUAACGAUGCGGGACUCUUCCGAGGCCUCGCAAUCGGAAUGAGUUUACCCUAAAUCCUUAAGCGAGGAUCGAUUGGAGGGCAAGUCUGGUGCCAGCAGCCGCGGUAAUUCCAGCUCCAAUAGCGUAUAUUAAAGUUGCUGCGGUUAAAAAGCUCGUAGUUGGACUUUAGGUCCGUACCGGGGGCCCACCCAAAGCGAGGCCUCGGCGAGGUUUCGCUACUAAGCGAGAGGAGGUCCGUUGCGACUGCCGAAAGCAGAAUAGCGCGAUCGGGUGAAGGAGUGAGUGGAGGUUAAACGGUCUACAAGCGAGAUUGCAGUUACUACCACGCGUAGGCUGCGUCUCCUUUAGGCAGACCCUCCAUGAGCGUACUGAUACCCAUCCGCAUUUUGCCUUCCUUCGCGACUCCUCCUUCUCGUGGCGGUCUCGAUGUCGAGUAACCUCGCCUAGGUGGUUAAAUCCCCCGGCUACGGGUUUAUAGAAAUGACCGUUGGCGCUCACGGGAUGCUCUUUACCGAGUGUCCCGCGUGGCCGAUGACGUUCACUUUGAAAAAAUUAGAGUGCUCAAAGCAGGCAAAAAUGAAUGCCUGAAUGUCUAUGCAUGGAAUGAUGGAACAAGACCUCGGUUUUGAUAUAUAUUUUUUCUCUCGGUUUUCCCCGAACCAGAGGUAAUGAUUAACGGGAACGGACGGGGGCAUUAGUAUUGCGGCGCGAGAGGUGAAAUUCUUGGACCGUCGCAAGACUAACUACUGCGAAAGCAUUUGCCAAGAACGCUUUCAUUAAUCAAGAACGAAAGUUAGAGGAUCGAAGGCGAUCAGAUACCGCCCUAGUUCUAACCUUAAACGAUGCUAACUAGCGAUCCGCUUAUGUCAUACCCACGACUGAGCGGGAAGCCCCCGGGAAACCAAAGUUUUUGAGUUCCGGGGGUAGUAUGGUUGCAAAGCUGAAACUUAAAGGAAUUGACGGAAGGGCACCACCAGGAGUGGAGCCUGCGGCUUAAUUUGACUCAACACGGGAAAACUCACCGGGCCCAGACACCGGAAGGAUUGACAGAAUGAGAGCUCUUUCUCGAUUCGGUGGUUGGUGGUGCAUGGCCGUUCUUAGUUGGUGGAGCGAUCUGUCUGGUUAAUUCCGAUAACGAACGAGACUCUACCCUACUAACUAGUCGGUGAAUCGUUUCCCUCGUCGAGAUCUCUCCCGCGUGAACGCCGUACGACUCGAGAAGAAACGCAUUCGACGUGCCGUCUUUCUCGCCUCUCGCAGGUGACGGAAGUAGCGGGCGCUCGUUGCGUUGAUAUCUCGGUCGGAAAGCCUUCUAUAUUGCGGGGAGCUCGGUGAGGGGCGUUUAUUCAGUCUUCUUAGAGGGAUCAACGGUUUCUAGCCGUACGAGAGAGAGCAAUAACAGGUCUGUGAUGCCCUUAGAUGUUCUGGGCCGCACGCGCGCUACAAUGCAGGGUGCAGCGUGUUAGCCCCCCUCCGAAAGGAGGGGGUAACCGGAGAAACCCCUUCCCGAUUGGGAUUGGGGAUUGUAAGUGUUUCCCAUGAACGAGGAAUUCCUAGUAAGCGCAGAUCAUGAGUCUGCGAUGAUUAAGUCCCUGCCCUUUGUACACACCGCCCGUCGCUACUACCGAUUGAAUGAUUCAGUGAGGGUGUCGGACUGGCGCCUUCGGCUGCCCACUGCAAAUUAGUCACGAACCCCUUUCGGG